UACAGAGGUCUCGAGCGUUGUUCGGAUUCAUUGGGCGUAAAGGGUGCGUAGGUGGCGCUGUAAGUCGGGUGUGAAAUCCUGGGGCUUAACCCCGGAACUGCAUUCGAUACUGCAGUGCUUGAGGACUGGGAGAGGAGACUGGAAUUCAUGGUGUAGCAGUGAAAUGCGUAGAGAUCAUGAGGAAGACCAGUGGCGAAGGCGGGUCUCUGGACAGUUCCUGACACUGAGGCACGAAGGCCAGGGGAGCAAACGGG
rnacentral:rRNA from 1 species